AUUGAACGCUGGCGGCAGGCCUAACACAUGCACGUCGAACGAGUGGCGGACGGGUGAGUCAUGUCUGGGACACUGCCUGAUGGAGGGGGAUAACUACUGGACACUGUAGCUAAUACCGCCUACCAUCGGAUGUGCCCAGAUGGGAUUAGCUAGUAGGUGGGGUAACGGCUCACAUAGGCGACGCUCCCUAGCUUGUCUGAGAGGAUGACCAGACACACUGGAACUGAGAAAAGGUCCAGACUCCUGCGGGAGGCAGCAGUGGGGAAUAGUGCACAAUGGGCGCAAGCCUGAUGCAGACAUGCCGCGGGUGUGAAGAAGGCCUUAGGGUUUUAAAGCACUUUCAGCGGGGAGGCGUUACCCGCAGAAGAAGCACCGGCUAACUCCGUGCCAGCAGCCGCGGUAAUUC
rnacentral:rRNA from 1 species